rnacentral:rRNA from 1 species
GGGCCGAUGUCAGAUUAGGUAGUUGGUGGGUAAAGGCUCACCAAGCCAACGAUCUGUAGCUGGUCUGAGAGGACGACCAGCCACACUGGAACUGAGACACGGUCCAGACUCCUACGGGAGGCAGCAGUGGGAAUUUUGGACAAUGGGCGCAAGCCUGAUCCAGCCAUUCCGCGUGCAGGAUGAAGGCCUUCGGGUUGUAAACUGCUUUGUACGGAACGAAACGGCGAGCUCUAAUACAGUUUGCUAAUGACGGUACCGUAAGAAUAAGCACCGGCUAACUACGUG